rnacentral:lncRNA from 1 species
GGAGUUUCCGUUCAUUAAAAUCUAAUUCAUACGGGAGUUCAACUAUAUGUUGCGUUCUAUUCCAGAAAGCAUUAGGGACAUCAGAACAUAUUUAUUUUUCAAGAACUAUUAUUAAAGUACUUAUUUUAUGUUGUAAUUCUAGAGAUAACAAUUUUUCCUCAAUGGUCUUAUACUUAAUUUCUUAUUUUAGAUAAUAGAGGAAUUCUCCUUAGUAGAGAUUUUAUUCUUAAUAUUAUUUAUUUCAUGAACUCGGGGCUUAUCUAUAAAGGUAAAUUUUACCUCAUGCCCUUCAAUGUUAGUCUCAAUUCCUGUAUCAUCAAUUUUGAUUGUGUAAAGCAUAUUUAGAAAAGGAGUUCCAAGAAUAAUAGGUUAACUCAAACCUUUAACCAUGAUAAAAGGAAAUUUAAAACAUGGUCCAUUGUUGCAAACUGCAGCAUUAGAUAAUUUAUAGUUUAUUAACAUUUUACUACCAUCAGUAGUGUUUAAAAUUUGGGUAGUCUUGCUAAAAUAUGUUGUAGGUACUAAGCCCUCAUUUAUGCAAUUUAAAUCAGCUCCAGAGUCAAUUAGGGCAGUGGUUUGAAAACUAUAUUAUUUCUGUACUACUGUUUUAACAAUAGUAAACCAUUGUUGAGUUAUGACUUUAUCUAAAAGGUUGAUGUAUUUAAAAUUCUGAAGCUUGGUUUGUUCUAGGACAAGGUAUUUAUUUGAAGUUUCAGACUUCUCAUUUUCUAGAACUUUUGGGCGUGUAUCUUCAACUUCUUGUGGUAGCAGAUUAUGGUGGUAUUCAUUUAUUAAAUUGUUGAAUUCAACUUUAGUAUUCUCAAUGGGAAUUUCCUCAUUUUUAUUAAAAGUAGUAGUAGCCAUAUCUAAGAUUUGAACUCUAGUUUUUAGAGUUAUUAAUUCGUUUCACACUUCAUUUAUUUCAUGUUUUGGCUCAGGGAUUGAAGGUUCUGUCAUAGUUUGAGUAUUGUUUUGAACUCUUUCAAGGAUAUCUUUUAAAUUGUAUUCUUCUCUUGUUGGUACGAGAGAAGUCUAGGGGUUAGUAGGUCUAGAAAGAUCUUUUACCAUAUUGAUAUAUUGAAUUAAGACUUCUCAUUUAGCCUCGGGGUCAUCAAUUUUAUCUAUUUAGUCAAUGAUUAAGCUUUUC